rnacentral:rRNA from 1 species
CCUACGGGAGGCAGCAGUAGGGAAUCUUUCACAAUGGGCGAAAGCCUGAUGGAGCAACGCCGCGUGCAGGAUGAAGGCCUUCGGGUUGUAAACUGCUUUUAUAAGCGAGAAAUAUGAUGGUAACUUAUGAAUAAGGAUCGGCUAACUACGUGCCAGCAGCCGCGGUCAUACGUAGGAUCCGAGCAUUAUCCGGAGUGACUGGGUGUAAAGAGUUGCGUAGGUGGCACAAUAAGUAGCUAGUGAAAUCUGGUGGCUCAACCAUUCAGACUAUUAGCUAAACUGUUAAGCUCGAGACCGUUAGGGGUAACUGGAAUUUCUAGUGUAGGAGUGAAAUCCGUAGAUAUUAGAAGGAACACCAAUAGCGUAGGCAGGUUGCUGGGACGGUUCUGACACUAAGGCACGAAAGCGUAGGGAGCAAACGGGAUUAGAUACCCGAGUAGUC